UUGUGUGUGCAAUUCAAUUUUUUAUAUUACACAUUUUCGUUACAAGUUUUCCUUUCACUUUUUUGCCGAAUGAACCUUCCAUAUAGACGUAUUUACGUCAAAACAGCACAGUUUAUUACUGUAUGGUUCUUCAAAGCUUCAUUAUGUAAUGCCAACAUGAAACGGUGAGCUAUUUUACAGGAUUGAGAAGAUAACUAAACUUUAUCAUGACAAUAUGUAUCAUAUAACUGGAAGAAAGAACUUGUAAGCACCUUAUUUUGUUGAGCCACGUAAUUUAAUACAGUAUAUACAAACAGUAACAAAUUAUGUAAAAAUGUUUUCAGAUAUAUGAAUAGUAUUUAAUAAAAUGCAAACAGUGUCCUUAAACAUCAGAAAUGAGUCCUGUGAAAUUAACAGAAUUGAUCUCACUGAUUGGUAAUUUUAAUUCUACCUUAUACACAUUUACAAUACAAUGCAAUAUUUCAUAUGUAUUAAUAUCUAAAUCAUAUAAAAGUGUUGCAUGUUAAUCCACUAGCAAUAAAAACAUUGAAAAAAUAC